GCGGGGCCGCGGCGCGAGCGCCCUAUUUAUAGGCAGCCAGGCUCAAGCAGGUUUGCAAAAGGUCCAAAGUGCAGGUCCCCAGCCCGUCCGGUCCUGUUUGCUUUUCCACACCAGCUCUGGGCCGGAGGAGGGCCAAGAGGGUCUCACCUCAGACUCCUUCAGGCCGGCCUUGCCCAUGGGGGCCUUGUGGUCCCGGCCGCAGGAGACAGUUUGCGGGGAAAAAGCCCCUGUCUUCUGGCUCUGACCGUGGGGGCCUUUGGAGAGCCAGUCCUUGGCCGGGAUUGGGACAUUUUCCUACAUUCUUUCCCACUUUAGGUUUCUGUGGAAGGCCAAGUCCUGGCCGGUACCUCUGGCUGUGGGGAGAGAGGAGGAAGAGCAGAUGGGGAGGCUCUGAAAGUGACCGGUGUGGUCCCUGCAGGGGGACAGCUGGGCCAGUUGGUGCCCAAGUCCAGCAAAGAGGAGCCGGUGGAGAAGACCAGGCCCACCCCGGGCAGGGCUCCCCAGAAAUCUGAGGACUGGGCUUUUCCCAGUGUGCACUGGCCCCUCCGUCUUCUCCAGGGCGGGGAAGCCAGCGAGGGCACAUGGAGGAGAAGGCUGGACAUGGUGCACCCAGCAGCACCCAGCAGUGCCCAGUGCUCGACUCCGGCCCUCUCCCUCUCUUCCCGGUGCUGCCUGAUCCCACAGGGAAGUUUCUUCUGCACGCUGUUCUCCUGCCGGGAAACCUCAGACCAGGGACAUUUCCACAGCCCUGGUUUUACUGACCCAGGGUCGGUCCCAAGAGGUUGCUGGUGGCCGGGACUGCCAUGGAGAGGAUGAAUUCUGAGCCGGGAAUGUGGGGGGUCAGAUGCACACCCAGGAAAUGGGGCCACAGCUAGGCGGGAUAGAGAAGGUUCACCUGAGGGUCCUAGCUGUGAGGGAGCACAGGAAGGAGCAGGGGCAGGAGCCCUAGGCCCAGCGGAGAGGCGGGGAGGGAGGGCGGGGCAGCCUGUUGCAGAAGCCAGCGCCUUUCGUCACAGCGUCUUCACUCUGAUUUAUAGGAUACAUCUGAUGUAGCCGGCACCUGUGGGAUCGUCGGAACCUUCUGAUAGCACACAGGCUGUUCCACAAGAGUCAGCUGUAAACCACACUGGUGUUUGAAGACCAGAGUUCCCUCAGAGGAGACUGGUGAGUGUCACUUGUGUCUCGUUCCCUGCCCCGGGCUGGUUCUUCGUUGGGUGGAUGUCAUGGAGUCCUCCGCUGACAUUGCCCAGACCGCAGCCUUGACCCGUGAAGGAUCCGGAAGAGUUAGGCCACUGAAGCCCCAUUUCUUUGAGCUUUACGUUUGCAUUAUUUAGCAUGGGUGGACUUUCCACUGGACCUGCACCACUGUGUUUGAGGAAAUAGUCCCACUGUGAGCAUUUUUGGUUCCAGGGGAAUGGGCAAGAGUAUCUAAGUGCAGAGAGGCCACAGAGACGGCUAGCAUUACUCAACAGCCUUCCCAGCGGGAUGGCGGGUACAACCAGUGUCCAACGGUCAGCACAAACACGUGACAUAAUUGUCACGUGCUUGAAAUCAAAAGCGACCCUGAUACCUUGGAUGUUGGGAAAAUUGAGGAAUGUUGGGAUGCCUGCGAAAGAGCUGUCGCCGUGCCUAAUAGAGAGCCCAAGACACCGAAGCCCUGGGUCUGCUUCCCUUUCUUAUCCUGGUGACCCCUGGAAAGUGUCCCGGCUGGGCCCGGCUCUGUAGGGAUCCUGCAGUGGGUUCCAGCACAGCAGCACUUCGAGCAAAUGGCAAGCUGCUGGCUGAGUCCACUCAGACACCGGGGCUUGAGACGCGGAGUUUUCUGAAACAUCAGAGGCUACACAGAUCCUGAAGCUACUCUACUAUAUACUGUCUGGCUAGGUAUCUGCCUUUGUCCCUUUUCCUGUAAGUGGAACUUUGCUCAGGUGAUUCUAGUACACAGGUUCGCAGUUUCAAGGGACAUCAGCCAAUUUUCAGAGCACCGUCAAGCAGAUGCAGGAGUCAGGAGGUCACUUCUCACUGAAGAGAGAAAAUCCUGGUCCCGAGAGGUUUGGUUUUGGAAGCCAGAGAGGAGUCACGGCCUCAGGCUCCUGGGAACCUCAGAAAGAGUGAGUAAAGACAGUGAUGUGAGCCACAAAGACACCUGGAGGACAGAAGGCUCCCCGUGAAGAGUAAGUCGUCAUUCCAACAGAGGUGUUUGUCUGGCGUUCACUUGAGUGAGUUAACUACAACCUCCAGACAAACGGAGGCAAACAGAACCUGCAUAAGUGAUCUUCUGAAGAAACGAGCCUCGAGGAGUGAGGUGAAGUUUGGAAUAAUUAUUUGGAAAACAACUUGGAACAUGGGAAUUACAAACUUUGCAUAUUACGGAGGCAACUAAAAUCAGACCAGCAUGAAGACCUCUGAAGGGGACGGUGUAUCCACUAUGUACUUGAUAAGACCAUCCCAUUGCUGCUGGAGGGCUUAAAAAGAAGUUCUGGAAUAUAUUCUCUGAUUUAAAAAUGAAAUCUCAGCUUUCACUUGGAAACCCGGAAUAUAUUCCUUACCAUCUAUUCCAACAGCUAAAUCCCAGCUCCUCUAUGAUUUCAAAUUUUCACAUUUACUUCUUGGAUCAACUUGAAGUUUAUUUUGGCAUAAGGAAUAAGGAGAAGUCCAACCUUGCUAUUUUUUGCUAACACCAUUUAUUGAAGAAUCCAUUUUCUGUAUUGAUUUGAAAGGCUACUUUUAUUGUAUACAAAACUCUCAUACGUUUGGUCUCCCUCACUACUUCCUAUUUCAUUAAUCUGCUUGUAUGUCAACACACUAAUUUCAAACAGUUUCAUAAUCUCAAAGCGGAAUACUAAAAUGUGAAGGAUCUGGAACCAGAAUGCCUGAAAUGAAAUUCAAAUCCUGUCAUUUACAUUGUGCAUGAUAACACCUCACACUAGUAUUGACUACUGGCUGCUUUCCCUACAUCCCAAUCUUGAGAGGCACAGAAUAGAGAAAGAGUUGAAGGAUCUUAGGACUAUACUCAGAAACUAAGAAAAGCCUCAGGAUCCUUGGUCAAAUGGAUGGAUGGUGAGUACUGGUACAGACAGGUUUUGGUCCCUUGGAAAUCAUGAGCAACAUUUUGGAGAGAGCUUGAGGGAGGAAAUCUGCUUUCAAUAUCCCUGUUGCCCUAGGGGUGGUGAACACAGAGAUGAAACUGAGGGAACUGAAAUUGGUUGGAACUAAAGGUGCAAUUCCAAAGCUUCAUGCUGAACAUUGUCUCUCUGAUUAGUAAAAAACCUGUGCUCUUAUAAUUUUACUCCAUUAGGGAGGAUUUUUCUCUAAUAACAGAAACAAUUUCCCCAUCACCUUUGGGUAUAACACCUUUGGAACAUGAAGGAGUGCUGGUUUUUUUUUUUGAGUAAUAAUGAUAAUAAUAGUUGCAAUAAAAAUAUCUAAAAAUGUUUCUUCAAAACUACAGAAUGUUAAGAGAAAAGCAGAUGUUCAGCUGUUGGACAUUAUUUUGGAUAAACGCGCUUUUCUGAAAGGGAUUGUGGCCCUGGUCACCAGAGCUAUGAGCGAUGGUCCAGUUCAAGGCUGUGUUUCAGAACACAGCGGAUCAGCAUGACCAGGAGCAAAGAUAAGGCUGCAAGGAUAACUGAAGAUGCUCCCAGCACCGUUCCUGCCUCUCUCCCUUCAUACCACUUCCCUCCAGGGCUCCUUUGUCCUGGCUCUGAUGCCCUGAGACCUGGCACAUUAGAAGGACUUGUAAGCGGCCACGAGGCUCUCCUCCACGUGACUGAUUCCAAACUCACCACGACUAAUAUUUUGCAAAUGUUACCUGGAUAAAUGAGCAGACCGUGUAUUCUUUGCUGGAGGAGCCUGGGGAUGGCAGCAGUGGCAGCAGGCCCGAAGGACUUCUUACAGUGCACGGUGCUGGUGACAAAGACCCAAAUAGGCCCGUCUGCCUGGGGACACUCAGACUUUAGGUUUUCCUGUUUUUUUUCAGACUGAGACGGUGUCUGCACUGAGUCAGGCAGCCUAGGAACACAGAAACCCGGUCUGUUAUGCUAUUUCCUAAGCCAGUGCAAGUGGAAAUGCCAUAAUGUGAAGAUUUGAUGGAAACACCCUUCUUGUCCAGACAAUCCAUCAUAGCCUCACGACUGGAGGGUCUGGUCAGAGAAAGCAUGGGUUACAAAGAAAGAGGACAAGUGCCGGGAUUAGGUCCAGGGAUCUGGAAUACACGUCAUACAAUUUCUUACCUAAUUCCCAGGAUCCAGGUCCAGGACCGAGAUAUAGAUCAGAAUCUCCCAUGGCUCAGUCGCCCUGCCCUCCCACACUCACUCCUCCCAUGCAGGUAGGCAACAGGUAAGGAGCAUGACUUUGCCCACACCCUGCGGGUGUCACGAAGCCGUUGGUUUCUGUAGCGUGUCACGUAAACACGACUGGAAUAACAGGCAGAUCUUAAGGGGGUACCCCAAAGGGGGAACGUGGUUCAGACGUCUGAAGUCUACUAAACAACACUACGUGGGACAAAUUUCAUUUAAAGCCAGCAUAAUGACACUGAAAGCAUGGUAGCGAGCAAAUGAGUAAGGAGUCCAUCUGAGUGCAGCCUCCAAACUAGUGAAGCUGGGUCUGACAGUACA